CUAGAGUAAUGUGUCUUAGAAUCGUCCAAAGAGUUAAUGGUCAAUGAUACAUAUUUUCAAAAAUUAAGAAUUUAAGUUAUGUAUCAUUAUAGAUUAAUUCCUAAACUGUUUCUAAUCGAUGAUCAUCACAGAGAUAGUGAUUGAUCCGAUAAAAUUGAUGCAUGAAUUGCUUCUCUUUAGGUAGACGAUGUUAGAUGUAUGCCCUUGAAGCU
rnacentral:lncRNA from 1 species